rnacentral:rRNA from 1 species
CCUACGGGGGGCUGCAGUGAGGAAUAUUGGUCAAUGGACGAGAGCCUGAACCAGCCAAGUAGCGUGAAGGAUGACUGCCCUAUGGGUUGUAAACUUCUUUUAUAUGGGAAUAAAACGUUCCACGUGUGGGAUUUUGUAUGUACCAUAUGAACAAGGAUCGGCUAACUCCGUGCCAGCAGCCGCGGUAAUACGGAGGAUCCGAGCGUUAUCCGGAUUUAUUGGGUUUAAAGGGAGCGUAGGUGGAUUGUUAAGUCAGUUGUGAAAGUUUGCGGCUCAACCGUAGAAUUGCAGUUGAAACUGGCAGUCUUGAGUACAGUAGAGGUGAGCGGAAUUCGUGGUGUAGCGGUGAAAUGCUUAGAUAUCACGAAGAACUCCGAUUGCGAAGGCAGCUCACUGGACUGCAACUGACACUGAGGCUCGAAAGUGUGGGUAUCAAACAGGAUUAGAUACCCCAGUAGUC